rnacentral:rRNA from 1 species
UACGAGGGGGGCGAGCGUUGUUCGGAAUUAUUGGGCGUAAAGGGUGCGUAGGCGGUUUGGUAAGUCUUGUGUGAAAUCUACAGGCUCAACUUGUAGUCUGCACGAGAAACUGCCGGGCUUGAGUAUGGGAGAGGUGAGUGGAAUUCCUGGUGUAGCGGUGAAAUGCGUAGAUAUCAGGAGGAACACCUGUGGCGAAAGCGGCUCACUGGACCAUUACUGACGCUGAGGCUCGAAAGCUAGGGGAGCAAACAGG